UGGGGAAUAUUGCACAAUGGGCGCAAGCCUGAUGCAGCGACGCCGCGUGAGGGAUGACGGCCUUCGGGUUGUAAACCUCUUUCAGCUCCGACGAAGCGCAAGUGACGGUAGGAGCAGAAGAAGCACCGGCCAACUACGUGCCAGCAGCCGCGGUAAUACGUAGGGGGCUAGCGUUAUCCGGAUUUACUGGGCGUAAAGGGUGCGUAGGUGGUCUUUCAAGUCGGUGGUUAAAGGCUACGGCUCAACCGUAGUUAGCCUCCGAAACUGGAAGACUUGAGUGCAGGAGAGGAAAGUGGAAUUCCCAGUGUAGCAGUGAAAUGCGUAGAUAUUGGGAGGAACACCAGUAGCGAAGGCGGCUUUCUGGACUGCAACUGACACUGAGGCACGAAAGCGUGGGUAGCAAACAGG
rnacentral:rRNA from 1 species